rnacentral:rRNA from 1 species
ACGGAAGGCAGCAGUGGGGAAUAUUGGACAAUGGGGGAAACCCUGAUGCAGCGACGCCGCGUGAGUGAAGAAGUAUUUCGGUACGUAAAGCUCUAUCAGCAGGAAAGAAAAUGACGGUACCUGACUAAGAAGCCCCGGCUAACUACGUGCCAGCAGCCGCGGUAAUACGUAGGGGGCAAGCGUUAUCCGGAUUUACUGGGUGUAAAGGGAGCGUAGACGGUUUGGCAAGUCUGAAGUGAAAGCCCGGGGCCCAACCCCGGAACUGCUUUGGAAACUGUCGAACUGGAGUGCAGGAGAGGUAAGUGGAAUUCCUAGUGUAGCGGUGAAAUGCGUAGAUAUUAGGAGGAACACCAGUGGCGAAGGCGGCUUACUGGACUGUAACUGACGUUGAGGCUCGAAGGCGCGGGGAGCAAACAGGAUUAGAUACCCUGGUA